rnacentral:rRNA from 1 species
AAUAGAUACCCGGGUAGUCCACGCCGUAAACGAUGAGUGCUAAGUGUUGGGGGGUUUCCGCCCCUCAGUGCUGCAGCUAACGCAUUAAGCACUCCGCCUGGGGAGUACGGUCGCAAGACUGAAACUCAAAGGAAUUGACGGGGGCCCGCACAAGCGGUGGAGCAUGUGGUUUAAUUCGAAGCAACGCGAAGAACCUUACCAGGUCUUGACAUCCCGGUGACCACUAUGGAGACAUAGUUUCCCCUUCGGGGGCAACGGUGACAGGUGGUGCAUGGUUGUCGUCAGCUCGUGUCGUGAGAUGUUGGGUUAAGUCCCGCAACGAGCGCAACCCUUAUUCUUAGUUGCCAUCACUCAGUUGGGCACUCUAAGGAGACUGCCGGUGAUAAACCGGAGGAAGGUGGGGAUGACGUCAAAUCAUCAUGCCCCUUAUGACCUGGGCUACACACGUGCUACAAUGGACGGUACAAACGGUUGCCAACCCGCGAGGGGAGCUAAUCCGAUAAAACCGUUCUCAGUUCGGAUUGUAGGCUGCAACUCGCCUACAUGAACG